GUCCACGCCGUAAACGUUGGGCACUAGGUGUGGGUCUCAACCAACUGGAUCCGUGCCGCAGCUAACGCAUUAAGUGCCCCGCCUGGGGAGUACGGCCGCAAGGCUAAAACUCAAAGGAAUUGACGGGGGCCCCGCACAAGCGGCGGAGCAUGUUGCUUAAUUCGAGGCAACGCGAAGAACCUUACCUGGGUUUGACAUGUAGGGAAAGCCGUAGAGAUACGGUGUCCUUUUGGGCCCUACACAGGUGGUGCAUGGCUGUCGU
rnacentral:rRNA from 1 species